GCCAAACCGCUAGCUUAACUUAUCAGUUAACUGAAAAAUAUAAAUAAACAAAAUAAGCCUAACACCAAAAAUUAAAUCAUUCUUUUACCUUAGUAUGGGAGACAGAAAAGGUUACGCAAAGCAAUAGAAAUAGUACCGCAAGGGAAAGCUGAAAGAGAGAUGAAACAGCCCAUAUAAGCACAAAAAAGCAAAGAUUAAACCCUGUACCUUUCGCAUCAUGAUUUAGUCAGUAUAUUCAAGCAAAGAGACCUGUAGUUUGAACCCCCGAAACCAGGUGAGCUACCCCGAGACAGCCUAUUAAGGGCCAACCCGUCUCUGUGGCAAAAGAGUGGGAAGAGCUCCGGGUAGAGGUGACAGACCUACCGAACCUGGUGAUAGCUGGUUGCCUGGGAGAUGGAUAGAAGUUCAGCCUCGUACCCCCUUUAAGUCAAAGAAUAAGCAAGACACCAAGAGAGACAUACGAGAGUUAGUUAUAGGAGGUACAGCCCCUUUAACAAAGGACACAACCUUUCCAGGAGGAUAAAGAUCAUAGUACACAAAAUAUACUGUUCCAGUGGGCCCAAAAGCAGCCACCCAAACAGAAAGCGUUAAAGCUCAAACGAAAAAAAAUUUAUUAUUCUGAUAAACAAUCUUACUCCCCUAACUAGUACUAGGCCAACCCAUGCCCGCAUGGAAGAGAUUAUGCUAAAAUGAGUAACAAGAAGGCCCGCCCUUCUCCAAGCAUAAGUGUAAGCAAAACCGGACCCACCAUUUGCAAUUAACGAACUCAACCCCAGAGAGCAAUGUGAGCUACAAAAAAACCAAGAAAAAUCCACAGCCCGCCUAUCGUUACCCCCACACUGGAAUGCGUUAAAGGAAAGACUAAAAGAAAGGGAAGGAACUCGGCAAACACAAGCCUCGCCUGUUUACCAAAAACAUCGCCUCCUGCAAAAACUAUGUAUAGGAGGUCCAGCCUGCCCAGUGACUAUCAGUUUAACGGCCGCGGUAUCCUGACCGUGCAAAGGUAGCGCAAUCACUUGUCUUUUAAAUAGAGACCUGUAUGAAUGGCCAAACGAGGGCUUAACUGUCUCCCCUUUCGAGUCAGUGAAAUUGAUCUACCCGUGCAGAAGCGGGUGUAAUAAUACAAGACGAGAAGACCCUUUGGAGCUUAAGGUACAAAACUCAACCUACGCUGAACGAUUCAACCACAUUUAAGGGACUUUCUAUGCGAAACGUGACACUCUACCUUCGGUUGGGGCGACCACGGAGGAAAGAAAAACCUCCAAGUGGACUGGGAUUUAAACCUCCUAGAUCUAAGAGAGACAUCUCUAAGACACAGAACAUCUGACCAAACAUGACCCGGCAACAAGCCGAUCAGCGAACCAAGUUACCCUAGGGAUAACAGCGCAAUCCUCUCCCAGAGUCCAUAUCGACGAGGGGGUUUACGACCUCGAUGUUGGAUCAGGACAUCCUAAUGGUGCAGCCGCUAUUAAGGGUUCGUUUGUUCAACGAUUAAAGUCCUACGUGAUCUGAGUUCAGACCGGAGCAAUCCAGGUCAGUUUCUAUCUGUAACGCCACUUUUCCUAGUACGAAAGGAUCGGAAAAGAGGGGCCAAUGCUUCAAGCACGCCCCACCCCUAAUUUAUGUAAACAAAUAAAUAAAGCAAAGGAAGGGCCAAAACCCCAGCCAGCCAAAAUAAGGACUU
rnacentral:rRNA from 1 species